CAACAAUGGCGCAUAUUUUAUGACCGUGAUUGCAAUCCAAAUUUGCAUUUGAGCUCAGCAGUCGAGUGUGGUGCCAAAAAUACCAGAAGCGAUGUCCUAUAUACGGCCUUGACCAGAAGUGUUGCAUGCCCUGGAUGCAGAAAAACAAGAUUGAGAUGAGUGGAUCAAGAUGUAUCUUUCGUGCAGAUGUAUCAAGAUCCUUUCACUUAAGAUCCAUGCAGGCGCAAGCUUUGGAUGAACUUCUGCUUCUGCAGUCGGCAUUCUUACAGGAGAACCCAAGAUUCAUUGUACCUACCUGUAUGCAUUUCAAAACUGAAUAAUUGAUAGCAACAAGUAAAUAUUUGAAGUUGCAGCCAAAUGCUGUGCCUUCUCUGCUGCAAGAGCUACAUGUCACCAUUGAAGCAAGGACCAGCUCGACUCCUGCAGUAGGAGUCCAGCCUCGUCCAGUCGUCGCCGCUCGCCAAGACCAGCCGGACUCCUGCAAUAGGGGUCCAGGCUGACCCGUUCGUCCAGUAACCGCCGCUCGUCAGCACCAGCUGGGCUCCUGUAGUAGGGGUCCAGCCUCGUCCAGUCGCCGCCGCUCGCCAAGACCAGCUGGGCUCCUGUAGUAUGGGGCUAGGAUGGCCCGUUCAUCAACCGGUCCUGAAGUCACAUCGCCGUCAGCCAGCCGAACUCAGUACAUAAGUCACCAACCCUGAAUGUUGCCAGCCAAAGUCGGCAGUUUCCUUCGGACAGUCAUCUCACCAGUGUUGUACAGUGUACGAGGUUAGUGACGCAGUUAAAUGCGUCAAUUAAAUGCGAGGACGUGCGCUUGUAUGCAGCGUUUUGUCAUGUUGAGCUGCAUGGGUGUCGAUUUUCACCGAAUUGAGGGUGCCCACUGCCCGGGCGCAGCAAAUCCGCCGCUGCCUUAGCGGUGACCUUGAGUCUUGACCCGCACCGUCUGUUGGGGCUCCAAAGCCAAGCCAGCCGAGCCGGCGGGGAAUCUAAAGAGCUUGAGCACCCCCAACCCGGCGGAAAUUGACACCUAUGUUGAGCUGUAUGGAUGCGUUUUAGCCUUCCGCCGUGGUGGUAAAUAGCAGCCUACAUGCAGAAUUAGGCAGGCUUAUUAGCGGACUCGUUAUUGGAUUCAUUGUGUCACGUUUGUCGGCACGUGUAAGAUGUGCUUAACUGCCAUUAGCUCUCGGUCUGGCGACUUCUGGGGACCACGUAAUGGGGAUGACAAUUGGGAUCCUGUGCCUUAAGCCGGCCAUUUACGUCCAU